GUAUGCCAGGGCUUGUCAGCCUUUCACAAAUGGAGUUCUUUGAUUCCCUCAGUAAGAGAAGGACAUCAAGGAAGUCUGGUUGCAAGAACAAGCUGCCUAUGGAAGACACAAAACAAUAACAGUGACCUUGAGAAGCUGAGGACUUGUUUUCUCCAAGUGCAUGAUGUACUGCUGGAGGGAAAUGUCUCACAUGACCUGAAGUGAGCUCUAUUUUGUUUUGAAUCAAGAAAUAUUUUUUACUUCAAAUCAUUUCAUUAAAUGUAUCAGAAAAUUACAUAAACUAUUCUCAGAAAAAUGAAAAGCUGCCAGUUUGAUCAAAAAUUUUGACAGAAUAAUAGGAAAUCCAAGGAACAAAGAGCAAGGGUAGGAGGGGGAAGGAACAUAGUGCCACAAAAGGCGGAAAGAAGCAGGAUGAAGAAGGAAGAAGAAUAUCACAAGGGGACAAUGAAGAAAACAAGAAAGGACUGAUAUUUGGUAGAAGCAGGCAACCAUCACCAUAGCAAGCACGAGUGACAUCUCCUCCUGUUGGCACAUCACCUCCCCGUGAUCCAUUCAUGCUCCCCGCAGACCUUUGUCUCCAUCACGACAAGUGACUGCUGUGACCAGUAAUGUAUCACUUCAGCCCCUGGUUCCCAAAACCAACCCUCUCAUUGAACUCUCAAGUUAAACAGUGUCUCCAACUAUUUGCAUAUGUGUGCAGUGUCAGAAGGGCUGUUAUGAUCUGCACGUUAGUGUGUGUGCAGGAAUGCAUGUAUCAGGCUGUCAUGCUGCAAUUUUCCACCUCCUUACAUUCUGCUGAUUCCCUGCAAAACCUGCCGACCUCCUGGGACUCUGCACACACCUUCAGUAGUUCUUCAUCAGUUAAAGUUUCAAAAAAGAUGUAUAUUUCACCGGGGAGAGCACAGCCAACAGAAAUUUGCUUCACAGCACAACCAUGUGCAUAAACUGGAUGCAGACAAUUCUUCCCAAUAAAAUGAAAGCAUUUCAAGUUCUGAUGACAGAGGAGUAAACAGCAUGUCAGUGAGAUGUUGUCACUCUUCUGCCACCGUCUAAUCAAGGUCACGGAGACAAAUCCUUUAGUUUAUUAAUGCUCUUCUCAGUGUACCAUAUAAGAUCCAGCCAGUGAUUCCUGGAUAAUGUUACGCAGCACACAGGACUCCUCUGUGCCUUGUGCCUUAAAGUAGCAGCAUUUAGUACAUGGCUGGCAUGCAUAGCUGCAGGAAGAAUGCUGAUCCAAAUCCCUUGUGUUCACCCCAAGUUUACUUUAUUCCACAUACCCUGAAUUGUCAGUUCUUGCCAACGGUACAUAAAAAAAAAAAAAAAAAAAAAAAAAAGGAAAAAUGCACACAUGGCCAAUUUUUAAAUCCCAAUUUUGCUUUCACCAACCAAUAUUUCCACAAAACAUAAUUUUAUGUUGGGAUGAGUAAAAAGAUACCUACUAUUUGGACAUCUCAGUGAAGAAUCAAAUUUAGUAGGGCAGAACCUAAUUUCAGGUGACCUGAAAUUAAGUCUUUUUAACCUGUGAAAUUCUAUGAUUCUUCAUGUCUGCUUGUUGAUGCUUAUCUUCUUUCCUUGUUGAGGUAGCAAAAAGAAUGUGUUAUUUGUGUCCACUACUGAAAAACAAAUUUCUGGUUGUAUACCUGUCUUGCAAGGUUAAUUAUGAAAAAGAAAAAAGAAAAAAAAAAAAAAGAAAAAAAAAAAAAGAAAAAAAAA